CAGCAGCCGCGGUAAUACGUAGGGGGCGAGCGUUGUCCGGAAUUAUUGGGCGUAAAGCGCGCGCAGGCGGUCCCUUAAGUCUGAUGUGAAAGCCCACGGCUCAACCGUGGAGGGCCAUUGGAAACUGGGGGACUUGAGUGCAGAAGAGGAGAGCGGAAUUCCACGUGUAGCGGUGAAAUGCGUAGAGAUGUGGAGGAACACCAGUGGCGAAGGCGGCUCUCUGGUCUGUAACUGACGCUGAGGCGCGAAAGCGUGGGGAGCAAACAGGAUUAGAUACCCUGGUAGUCCACGCCGUAAACGAUGAGUGCUAAGUGUUAGAGGGGUCAAACCCUUUAGUGCUGUAGCUAACGCGUUAAGCACUCCGCCUGGGGAGUACGGCCGCAAGGCUGAAACUCAAAGGAAUUGACGG
rnacentral:rRNA from 4 species